rnacentral:rRNA from 1 species
GGAUGAACGCUGGCGGCGUGCUUACCACAUGCAAGUCGAACGGAAAGGCUCCUGCUUGCAGGGGUACUCGAGUGGCGAACGGGUGAGUAACACGUGGGUGAUCUGCCCUGCACUUCGGGAUAAGCCUGGGAAACUGGGUCUAAUACCGGAUAGGACGAUGGUUUGGAUGCCAUUGUGGAAAGUUUUUCGGUGUGGGAUGAGCUCGCGGCCUAUCAGCUUGUUGGUGGGGUAAUGGCCUACCAAGGCGUCGACGGGUAGCCGGCCUGAGAGGGUGUACGGCCACAUUGGGACUGAGAUACGGCCCAGACUCCUACGGGAGGCAGCAGUGGGGAAUAUUGCACAAUGGGCGCAAGCCUGAUGCAGCGACGCCGCGUGGGGGAUGACGGCCUUCGGGUUGUAAACUCCUUUCGCUAGGGACGAAGCGCAAGUGACGGUACCUGGAGAAGAAGCACCGGCUAACUACGUG